AUCUCGGCGCUCCCGGAAGUGGCCCGGAGGCGGCGCGCCAGUCCCGAGCAGUGCUCGCUCCUGCUCGGGGCGCUGCGGCCCCGGGCGUCGCCAUGACCAGCGAGCUGGACAUCUUCGUGGGGAACACGACCCUUAUCGACGAGGACGUGUAUCGCCUCUGGCUCGAUGGUUACUCGGUGACCGACGCGGUGGCCCUGCGGGUGCGCUCGGGAAUCCUGGAGCAGACUGGCGCCACGGCAGCAGUGCUGCAGAGCGACACCAUGGACCAUUACCGCACCUUCCACAUGCUCGAGCGGCUGCUGCAUGCGCCGCCCAAGCUACUGCACCAGCUCAUCUUCCAGAUUCCGCCCUCCCGGCAGGCACUACUCAUCGAGAGGUGCUCACCCUGUGGGAUGGUGGAGACAUCAACCAGUCUGACUGUAUACCCAUUUUGCCGGCUGAAACAGGCCCAGGGAGGGAUGGGACUUACCCAGCCAUCAGAAAGUUGAGAGUAGAAGGGGUCAGACCUAGGCCCUGCCAGGCCCCGCCAGACUCCCUUUCCUCUCUUUUAUGGAGGGUCAAUGGUGUUCUCUGACUCCACAAGGUACUAUGCCUUUGAUGAGGCCUUUGUUCGGGAGGUGCUGGGCAAGAAGCUGUCCAAAGGCACCAAGAAAGAUCUGGAUGACAUCAGCACCAAAACAGGCAUCACCCUCAAGAGCUGCCGGAGACAGGUAGGCACUGCAUCCACACGGACACAGCAUCCCAUCUACACUUCACUCCCUCCCUUUGGCCACUGGCCCAGUUCCAGCCUCUGAUUGUGGCAGCAGCUUCAUACCUAGUCUUCUCCUCCCUUCCCCUUUCCCCUCCUUUUUUUUUUUUUUUUUUUUUCGAGAAGGAGUCUUGCUCUGUGGCCCAAGCUGGAGUGCAGUGGCGCGACCUCAGCUCACUGCAACCUCCGCCUCCUGGGUUCAGGUAAUUCUUGUGCCUCAGCCUCUGCAGUAGCUG
rnacentral:sRNA from 1 species